rnacentral:rRNA from 1 species
UACGUAGGAGACGAGCGUUGUCCGGAAUUACUGGGCGUAAAGCGCGUGUAGGCGGAUGAGCAAGUCUGCUGUGAAAGCUCCUGGCUUAACCGGGAGUGGUCGGUGGAAACUGCUCGUCUGGAGGACGGUAGAGGUAGGUAGAAUUCCCGGUGUAGUGGUGAAAUGCGUAGAUAUCGUUUGGAACGCCAAUGGUGAAAACAGGUAACUGGGAGUGUGCCGACGCUGAGAUACGAAAGCCAGGGGAGCGAACGGG